UGGGAUAUUCAUAUGAAUUGGCUAGUUGGUUCCUCUUCUUGUCUUGUUUUUGUAAAAAUGUUGUGUAUCUUGUCUCUUAGAUUUGUGUUCUGAACAGAGAGAAAAGAAAAGAGACGAGAUGAAAAAAAAAAGAAAAAAAUAUACAGACAAAUGAGAAAAAUUAAAAAAAAAGUUGUGAAUAAUGGAGUCAAGAAGAGGCUUGAAUUAGAGGGUUUGGGUGCUAUUUUACUGUGUUUACACUUGUUCUCCAUUGCUCAUCUAUUCCUUUUGGUUUGUAGCUUCUGAUCCAUAUUAUAUCCUCCCUUUUCCUUGGC
rnacentral:lncRNA from 1 species